CCUACGGGGGGCAGCAGUGGGGGAUAUUGCACAAUGGGGGAAACCCUGAUGCAGCGACGCCGCGUGCGUGAAGAAGUAUUUCGGUAUGUAAAGCUCUAUCAGCAGGGAAGAAAAUGACAGUACCUGACCAAGAAGCCCCGGCUAACUACGUGCCAGCAGCCGCGGUCAUACGUAGGGGGCAAGCGUUAUCCGGAUUUACGGGGUGUAAAGGGAGCGUAGGCGGUUAUGUAAGUCAGGGGUGAAAGCCCGGGGCCAACCCCCGGGACUGAUUUGGAGACUGUGUAACUGGAGUACAGGAGGGGCAGGCGGAAUGCCUGGUGUAGCGGUGAAAUGCGUAGAUAUCAGGAGGAACACCGGCGGCGAAGGCAGCCUGCUGGGCUGAUUCUGACGUUGAGGCUCGAAAGCGUGGGGAGCAAACAGGAUUAGAUACCCUUGUAGUC
rnacentral:rRNA from 1 species